rnacentral:rRNA from 1 species
UACGGGGGGAGGCAAGCGUUGUUCGGAUUUACUGGGCGUAAAGGGCGCGUAGGCGGUCAGCACAAGUCAGUUGUGAAAUCUCCGGGCUUAACUCGGAAAGGUCAACUGAUACUGUGCGACUAGAGUGCGGAAGGGGCAACUGGAAUUCUCGGUGUAGCGGUGAAAUGCGUAGAUAUCGAGAGGAACACCUGCGGCGAAGGCGGGUUGCUGGGCCGACACUGACGCUGGAUGACGCGAAAGCCAGGGGAGCGAACGGG